rnacentral:rRNA from 1 species
CCUACGGGAGGCGGCAGUGAGGAAUAUUGGUCAAUGGACGAGAGUCUGAACCAGCCAAGUAGCGUGAAGGAUGACUGCCCUAUGGGUUGUAAACUUCUUUUAUAUGGGAAUAAAAUGUUCCACGUGUGGGAUUUUGUAUGUACCAUAUGAAUAAGGAUCGGCUAACUCCGUGCCAGCAGCCGCGGUAAUACGGAGGAUCCGAGCGUUAUCCGGAUUUAUUGGGUUUAAAGGGAGCGUAGGUGGAUUGUUAAGUCAGUUGUGAAAGUUUGCGGCUCAACCGUAAAAUUGCAGUUGAAACUGGCAGUCUUGAGUACAGUAGAGGUGGGCGGAAUUCGUGGUGUAGCGGUGAAAUGCUUAGAUAUCACGAAGAACUCCGAUUGCGAAGGCAGUUCACUGGACUGCAACUGACACUGAGGCUCGAAAGUGUGGGUAUCAAACAGGAGUAGAUACCCCAGUAGU